GCCAAUUUCAUUGCUCUGCAGCUUCUGUGGGCAAAGCCUCGCACCCAUGCAUUAGCUGUUUAACAACUGACGAAGCAGAUAGGAGUAGUUCAAAAUUUUCAAUCCAAGUUUUUGCUAUCUCAGGCUUCUCAUCUGCUGUCUGCUGUUAAGGUGGUGCCAAGAUCUUGAACCGAUGGGUUAGAUUCAUCAGAUUUGCAGCUGAUGAAGAUUUAUCCCGAGUAAUUCUCAGCAUAUGAAGAUUUAUUAAGUUCCGCUGCUGCUUUUCUCUCUCGGUCUUGGGCGGAGGAAUUCAUCAUGAGUACUAGUCACCAGUUGAUGAUUGGUUAAGUUUGCUGCUGCUUUUCUUUCUUGGUCUUUCAAAGAUCAUGAGUUCUGUUCGAUCCACGGUGGUGCUGAGAUCUUGAACCGACGGGUUAGACUGAUGGAAUUUGCAGAGCAGAUCUUCUCUCUUGGUCUCCAAGGAGUAUUUCAUCCUGAGUAGUUCUCCUCAGUUGAACAUUGAUUUGAGUCUUUCGGUUGCUUCUCCCUCGCUCUCUCUCAUGGUCUUAAACGAGGAAUUCAUCACGUCUCCCCAAUAGAUGAAGAUUGGAUCGUGCACUCUUUAGUUGGUUCACUUGGCUGCUGCUGUCUGAAGCUUCUGGGUGCAAAGCCUCCUACUCCUGCAGUCGUAUCUUGCAUUUCUGCUCCGGUUUUGGGGUGGAUAUCAGCAGCCAUAGUAGAAGGAAAAGAUUGGAGUACUUCGGAAAUUUCAGUGUAAUACUUGUGUUUCGGCAAGCUGCUGUUAUCGGCCGUCAAGGGGGUUAGGCGAGAGAUCUUCCGACCAAUGGGUUAGACUGGUUGAAUUUGAUCGAGUCCUCACCGGUUGAGAUUGAUUGAUUUAAUUUGCAAUAGAUUUUCUCCAUUGGUCAUUAGCAGAGGAAUUCGUCAUGCGUAGUCCUCUUCCAUGGGUAAUACUCUUUGUGCAUCUUACGUUCACAAUUAAAUAGCUAGGAAUAAUUCUGUUGAGCCUGUCAUGGUUGUGUAUGGCAUUUUUUUUACAUAACCGUGAAUCGUGCAUGAUAUAGAGCUAUUAGAGCGUUAUAUGUUGUUUUCUUCCUGAUUGGAGCUACUAGAGCGUUAUAACUGACCACUAGGGAACACCGUACCCCACCAACAAUUAGUGUCAUUAAUGGAAGCAAAGCUGACAAAAGUAAGUUCUAACUCCAUGUCUGCUGCUCAAGAAGAUAUACAACCAGAAGGUGCAAGAAAUAAAGCUGACAAAAUUAAGUCAUAAAUACUUCCUCCGUCCCAUAAUAUAAGAGUGUUUUUCGCACUAGUAUAGUGUAAAAAAUGUUUCUUAUAUUAUGGGACGGAGGGAGUAGAAGCAAAGCUUCCUAAUAAGCAACUCAAUAUAAUAUGAGGCUCUGGUUAAAUAGAUCACAAGCAAAGUUCUAGAUCAUGGGCGAAAAGUGAGCAAUCGCGGCGCAAUCGCGGCCUGGAGGCCUCCCCGCUAAUUGCGACGCAAUGCCUUAAAAAACGCUAACUGCCGCUAAUUGCACGAUCGCCCGCGAAACGGCGCGAUUUGACUUUGCGUUCGCUUCAGUUUCGCUGGGAUGGGGCGGAGUUCUGAAAGAGAGGCCCAAAUAGCGGUCAGCCCAAAUGCUUGCGGAUAGAUAGCACUUCCUCCACGAAACAU